CCUGUGGCAGUGUUGGAUCUCAGCAGCAACAACAACAAAAGAACCAAAGCCAUUUCUAUCUCUUUAGCUUCCUAUCUGGCCACAGAUCUGCUCACGAUGAUAGAUCAAGAAAUUCAGGGAUGCUGCCCUUCAAUUAUGAACCCACUGCUCAGAAGACAUUAGCUCUCUCUCCUGUUGAGUUUUGGUUCUGUUGCUAUGUAUUAUAAUGCUAAAUUCUGUUCCCCCAGGUCUAGUUGCUUCAAAAUACAAAUUCUCA
rnacentral:lncRNA from 1 species